rnacentral:rRNA from 1 species
UACGGAGGGUGCAAGCGUUAUCCGGAUUUACUGGGUUUAAAGGGUGCGUAGGUGGGUUGGGUAGUCAGUGGUGAAAUACUUUCGCUUAACGAAGGAACUGCCAUUGAUACUCCCAAUCUUGAAUACAGUGGAGGUGGGCGGAAUGCGUCAUGUAGUGGUGAAAUACUUAGAUAUGACGCAGAACACCUAUUGCGAAGGCAGCUCGCUACACUGUCAUUGACACUGAGGCACGAAAGCGUGGGGGAUCAAACAGG